rnacentral:lncRNA from 7 species
GUUGCGUGUGGUGCUGGUUUACGCUGCCUAGUUCAAAAUAACAAACAUGACUAGUCCAUUUGGUGCAUGCUGAGCGAGCCAUGCUGAACCUGGUUGAUCCCUGGAAGCUGCUGGGGCGUCGUAUGACUGACGAUCAGGGGUUGCUUUAAAGCACAGGUAGACUUCAAGUUCUGUUUCCCGCAAGUUGCCAUUGCGGUCCUGAAAUGAAAAAACCAGGUGUGGGAAUGCGGAACUGUCCAUCUACAAAAUCAGUGGCAGGGAUCCUCUCAUUAUAAAGUUAUCUAUAGAGAGCAAGGACAAGAAAGAAAAUAGAUAUCUUGGCUAUUCUUUUGUCCAGCUGGGCAAUCGACAAGGUGAUGAACGCAGCAGUUGGACAGAAUGAGUGUAGUUCAAAAUCUUCGUUGUGGAGUAGCUUCACAAAUAAUGGAGUUGGAAUACGGAAGGUGUUUGGCUUGGAGAUUAGCUCGAGCUCUAGGAAUACAAUUCAAGAGGGUUUUGUGGGAAUUAUCUAGUGUGCUCUGCUUUUGUAUGUACGCCAUUUUGAUGCACCUAAGCAUUUAUGCAUUUGUAAAUGAUAAGUGCUCCUUUGGAUAGCAGGAACUUUGGAGUAUUUGAAUCAUUAGAAUUAUUUUUUUUCAUAAGGAAUUCUUCUGGGUUGCCAUUCUUAACCCCAAUUCCAUAGAGAGAUCAAACAUGAGCUUGAACCUCAAAUUUAGAGAAGUCAGCUACAUUUUCCCCUUUUUAUUGGUCUACUCUCUUACAAAUUACAAUGCACCAUCCCUCCAAA